AAAAAAACCAAACGAGGCCGCCAAUCCCCGGCCUACCUCUCCCAACUCCCUAGCACUCCCGGAUCUCAAAAUAAACUCCCUAGCACUCCCUCCCUGCGCCGCCGCCCAUCGAUCUACCACCUACUACGGAUCAGUCGGCCACCACAACCUCCCUUCCCAGUCGGCCGCCACAGCGCCACCACCCCCUCCCCCGGCAGCCAUGCACAUCGGGAGGCGACCACACGCUUGGUGGGUCUCGGCCUCCCUCCUCUCAUCGUCCAAGGCCAGGAGCUCCCUUCCCUGACCGAUCUGACGGAGAGAGGGCUAGGCCUUGCCACUCAGAUGGUUGAUGUGGCCAGAUCCGACCGGGGGAGCCGCCAUAGAGCCGACACCUCGGCGGCACAGCAUCAACCCGACAGAAGCUGCAUGGAUUGGCGAUAUUAUUUUGGCUUGGAUUCAAAGUGGCAAUCUGGCGAUAUGAGUAUUUGUACAAACCGCCGAGGACCUCAAAUUCACAUGUUUCAGGCCUGAUGAGUAUCAAAUGUCAUGAGAAAUUCAAGAAUUGCAUGGGAAGGGUAAAGGCGACUAGCAGAUUGGGUUCUCCAAGGAACGCCAAUACGAACUCACUUUUUGCAACACACAUGCUCAGCCAAUUGGGCAGCCAGCUGGGAGGUAGACAAUACAUUUUUCCUCUUUCACAAAUAAAAUAUUUUGAUGCUCAAGAUUGGAUAUUAAGGCAUUAUUUUAAAUCAAUUUAUUGAUCCAAGGUCAUGGAAAGAACUAUUUUUUUCUCUUGUUGCAAUACACAGGCUCAAAGGUACAGGUGCGCGAACCCCUACUUAUAUAUAGGCAUUUUCACGUGUGUGUUGGAGCUUUGUCUGAUCGUAUAUGCUGAUUAGUGCAUGGGUCCUUGAUUGAGAAUGCUUCGAUGGAUAGGGGAUUCCAUGAAAGAGUUGGUGUGGAUUAAUAUCCUUCGGGUUUUUGCGUGGCGUGGCCCUGACAUUUAUCAGGGACUAGAAUAUAUCUGAAUUGUGUGUAGCGAUUGUCCAUCUACUUAGUUAUUGUAGGCAUUCUGUUUCACAUAAAUAUAGAUAUAUUUGAAUCAUGAGUAACUACAUGUCCACUCUUCGUCCAAAGUUUUUGCUUAUGCAAUAUGAUUGGACUAUUUAGUUCGCAUCCUUCUCCCUUUGCAGAUUAUAAUGCAUUUUGAAAUUGUUCAUGUGCUUCAUUUUUGCACUCUUGCUACUCUCUGGAGAAAUUAUUUGCUCUACCUAAAGCAUGGCUCCUAUGUUGGUAUUCAUGGCCAAUCUAGCUAUUUUAUGUUUAGUAAAUUGUUUGCACUAAUGUACAGAGCCUUCUAAUUUUUUUGAUCCGUCCCAGUAUCCUGACCCAUUGUUUGCAUUUUACUUACACAUGCUCUAGAAAUUACACAGUAUGUAGCACAAGAUUAUACUGCUGAAUUGUUGAUGAUAUUAGUGGGCUCAAUCUUGUGGUGUCCUUACUCUGAAAACAACAUCCGACAUCGAUGAUUAUUGUUACCCCUACAGAUGGUUAGAUUUUGAAGGCUCUGUACUCGAAAUCAUAUGGGAAUUUCAUGUUGUUGCAUCCAGGUGCUGGAAUUCCUCACAUUGGAGUGAAAACAAUUAUGUCUAUGCAUGUAGCAGCAAGGACUUAAUAUUGGGUACAUCCGUCGUUGAAGUAUAAAGCAAAGAAGCACACAACAACUUCUGAAGCCUUCUUAUAUUUUCGGAUCCUUGUCGAGUCUGUUCAGUCAUAUAAUGAUACACCACUGACAGGGGAUGAGGCAGGGGAGGGGUGCCGUUAUUGCAUACAAGACAUGACUUCCACUACAAGAAACACUUAAGAAGAAUGAGUGCCUUUUAGGCCCAGGUCAUAUUCAAACAACAAUUUGCUAUCAUGCUCUCGCCAUUGCAUUCAGCUGUAUGAGUGCAUACAAGCUUUCAAUUCAGGUUAGCUCUAACAAAAAAUUGGCAGAAUAACAUUUUGACACAUUUAACUGACUUCUUGAUUUUGGUGGCAGCAUGAAACACAGACACAUGAUAUACUGGUAAAAUAGUUAGGGUCUGAUGAUUCAUGAACAAAAGAUUCAUAAAAUUGGUUGAAUCAUUUAAGGAGCGAGAACAGCAAGUAUGUGAUGAAAAAUUAUUUCCCAUGGUUGUUUCACUCUUGGUUCAGGGAUUCUUGCACAUUAUCAAAGUAGCAACUUGUCAAGGUGAUGUUCCUAUCUUGUUUAUGCUAGACGUAGUUGUUUAUUUGUGACAUCAAACAGUUUACAACAUUAGAGAUUUUUACAAAAUGUGGUAAUUGUUCUUUCACAAAUUUCUCAAGAACAAUAAUAAUUGGUUGCCAUUUUUAAUCCUUUGUAAUUUGUAGUUUAUUUGAAUAUUACAGAAACGGUUGACAUCUAAUUUGCCAUCAUGUUGUUUUACACAUAAUUUAUUUAUCUCCUUUCUAAUGUGUAAAUGGUUAAUACUGAAGACUCAUUUUGUGAAUUAAGGAUCAUUUAGAGAAUUUAAUGACUAUAGUUUUCAUGUAUGGUGUGCCUCCCUUGAGUUGGAGAAUAUUUACAAUUUCAUCAACAUGCAGCUAUAGUGUUUGACCAACACAGUUUUGCCCGCAAAACUUUUAUUCUUUCCUUGUUCUGGUUAGUACCGGUGUAGAUUUUCUUCUUAUAAAAAAUAAUAAAAUAUAAAUAUAUUUUCAUUGUUACGAGAAAAUUAGAUUGGUCACAAAAACAUGUUACUUCAGCAACAGUUAUUUUUCAACUGAAAUCAACUUUGCUUACCAGGCGCUAGCUAUCCCCGACAACAUAUUUGCACUCUGAUUAUACUUGAGCAGUAAUAUCACGCAAUGGUUCUGUUCCCUCCUUGCAUUUACCUCUCCUUUCUUGAUUUUGUCCUUAAAUGAUGACUAGAUAUGUCCAUGGAUAAAGUGAUCUGAUGUACAUGAGGAUCGUAAAGUUAUAUGUUCCACAUGAUUGGUGUUUAAUCACCAAAAUGUGUAUACCCUUGUUUUCCUGACAUGGAUGAACCUGAUAUGGGUGUGUUGUCUGUUGCAGGUCAUUGCCAAAUGCCAACCAAUGUGCCAGCAUGGGACCGGGGAAAGGGAAAGACCAUGGAGGUGCAAGUCUGAGAUGAAGAGAUGGCGACACAUAAUUGAGCUAGAGGCAACAACACUCAGGCCAACAGAGGAAGGAGAUGGAAGGAGGAAGAAAAAGUCAUGGCCGUGGGGAUAAGAAUGAGUGGCUCACACCAUUAGUACUAGGGAUAAGGUUGGUAAAAAAGAAAGGAAACAUCGGCAUUGUGUGAGCCAACAUGAAACGAGCGCGGUGUGAUUGGGGUUGGCCGUUUUGAAUCGUUUUCCAUUCAACUACUGGUUGCUCGGUUUCAGCAAAAAAAAAUUGAGUUGCCAAUAACAUAUUUUUGUAUUUGAUAGUAUGAUGUGUGUUAGUUGAUUGUCAAAAAAUAUGCAUUAUUUAAGAUGUGC
rnacentral:rRNA from 1 species